AAACCUGGGUUCAGUCCCUGGUUCUUCCCAGGUACCAAAUGGAUGAUUUGAGGCAAGUUGUUUUGGCCUCUCUGAAUUUGUUUCCUCCUCUGUCUAAGCCUGUCCUUUAUGGUUGCAUUAAAGAAUAAAACAGAAAAUAUGUCCCGGGUCUGGUGCGUGGCAGGCUAUCAGUAAAUAUUAGGGCUGUUGAUGCCCUUUCUCCACUCCUGGCCCAUUCUGAAAGGAAGAGAGAGCAGCUGUCUGUCUCUAAAAUAGAACCACCGCCAUCCCAUACUAGCCCAAGACUAAGGGGUCUCGUAGGGUACUUUUACCCUUUGAAGUAGCCUCCUGAGUCUCCCGCCUUCACUGCCCCAAACUUUUAAAGGGAAGGGGCAUCUCUGGAGAGAGGCUUGGUGGUGCUGGCACCAUUCUCUGAAAUUAAUGCCUAAUUUUUUUCUUUUGUUUUAGAGUCAACCAUUAACAAAACACCAGAUGAGUGUGUCUGAGGACUCCUCAGGGAGGGAGGCCCAUCUGGAAAGGGGACUCAGGCUGUCGGCGCUGGUGCACUCCAUGCUUAAUCUCAGUCUCGGCUCCCUGGAGGCAGACUGCUUGAAUUAUGCUCUUACGAGAGAGGGACAGUUAUCUCAGGGCUGGAGGAGGAAGUGAUUUAUUCCAGCUGGUCGGCUUGAAGGAAUGUGAACUUAGGCUGAGUUGGCAGCACAGAGAUUUUCAAGUGUGACAUCACCUCCCAGUCGGGAAAGUUGACGAAGUCUGAUCCCAGCCUGAAAGUUGUGAUUUCCCCUGGCUCUCUGGAAUUCUAGGUGUUCCUGGAUUUGCCAGAGGCAUUCUGUUGCCCUCAGCAGUGUGAGUCUUGGAGCUCCAUUCUCCCUUCUCACCUUAUUGCUGCGUGAGAAUUCACAGGCCACUGGCAGGAUGGGAGCCUUCUAGCCAGCCUCCGGAUUGCAGAAAAUAUAAAAAUACAGCUUCAAGACACAUGCCCUGGACUCUGCUCUCAGACUGCCAACCAUAAGCUCCCACUGGUUCCUUGGACUUUGCACAGGUUCUCUUAUUCAACGCUUGCAAUAACUAUAUGAACAGGAAACAACGAAGGAGCUGAGCUCUGUGACCAGUUUCGAUACCAGCUGAAACCAAAACAUGAGCAGAUACACAAGAGCAAAGAAUCAGAAGAUGCCAGAAGUGAGGCUCCUGUUGUGCCAUGCCCUUUCUCGUCACACCCAGCUGUGUUCUCUCCCUGCCCCAGGCCUCCGCAGCCAGGUGAGGAAACAGUUUGGGAGUGAACUGACUGGCCAGUGUUCUGGGGCUAGUAAUGGAAUGAGCUGAUCAACAUUGGAACCUCAUUCUUCUGACUCCAAGCUCACGGUGUGUGGGCUUGAGCUCUGAGCCCACAGGAAGCGCCGGCUCCCGCUAAGCCGCCAGUUAGGCCAUGAGUGAGUAUUUGGAGUAGGAGUAUGUACGCAGUGAGUACAUGCGAUCCCAGAACCAGAAUUUCUGUCUCAGGCAACCCUCAAGGCUCUUAAAAUGCAGACGUCAUUGUACAGCCGUUGAACUUUAGAGGGGAAGAUUAUUUCUUUUAUGGCAAAAUUCAUUCAUUCAUUUAUUCAUGUGUUCAUUCACUCAACAAGUAUAUAUAUUAAGCAAUACUCCAUCUCCAAUAAACGCAAGCCAAUUUGCCAAAAAUCAGCACCCCACUAAAACCCCAUCUGCAACAUAAUCAACUCACUCCAUUUGUCGAUUUAAUCACUUUGUUAACUGACUAGUUUACUAGUUUUACCAAAUUUACUCAUUUUAUGAGCUUGAACAGUAAUGUUUUAACAAUUAAAAUAUUGGCUAUACAGACAUAGUAGAAAUCAACAUUUUUUCCACAUGAAAUACUACUUUUCCAGGCAAAAUUCCAGCCUUUAACUAACUAUACGAUGGGAUUAUUUUGGCUGCCUCUGGUUUCUUUAUGUGCUUUAUUUUCAAACUUGAAACAUUUAAAUAUUUUUUUGUCAGUUUCUUGAAAGGAUAUAAGCUUGAACUUUAUAGGGGCAGUGCAGGGAAAUGGCUACGUAGGAAGGCCUGGACCUGGACCCAGCCUGCCUGGGGUGUCAGCCCAGCUCUGCCACUUUCUUAGGGACAGCUUACUUGUACAUAUGUGAUGUGAUCUCAGCCAUUUUAUGUACAAACACUGGGGGAAGAAAAAACACAUCAUGAUAAUAACGGGGUUAUUUCUGGGUGGUGGGAUCGUGAGUAACUUUACUUGCCUUCCUCAUAACUUUUGUCAGUAAAAAGAAUUAAUCAAUGGUCAAUCUAAGAAAGAAAGGGAAAAUUUUAUUCGAGCCAAGCUGAGGACUAUAGCCCAGAAGACAGCCGGCUACUCUGAGAAACUGCACUGAAGAGGUAAGGGGAGAGGUCAGUAAUGUGAUGAUUUGGGGGAAGAGGGUAUGUGCAAUCAAGCACACAUCUCAGUAGAAGGUUGCUGCUAGUCACAAGAAACAGACAGCUUAGGUGAUAAUUGUAGUACUUUUCUAAGUAUGGGAAGAUGCAAGAAUCCAGGUCAUAAAAAAUUUUCCCUUAAAAUAUCUAACUAUCUAAAGGCCUGUUCUGCCAGAUUUCCCAGAGUACAGAGUGCCACAUUCCAGAUCUUCACUCUGAAUUGCUUUCUCGGGUGUAUUGUACGUCAGCAACCGCAGUGGCUAAUCACUUGAUUCUUGUAGAACUAGAUGGUGGGCAACAUUCUUUAUUUUACGAUCACUUCCCUUUUGGUCUUAAUUUCAACCAAGGUUUGGGAGGCAUUUGGUGACCAAUUUGUCCCACGGUGCUAGAAAUGCUCGUUCCCAGGUUAGGUGAGGAUUUCAUUGAUAGGCCACUCAACGUGCUAUUACUGGACCAGGCCCUGUGAACAGUAGCCCAAAGUCUGUUGUGGUCCAGGAAAUGGUUCCCUCUUGUUGCUUCUUCCCAUAUAGAGAUACACCAUUACAAUCCUUGAUCAUAUAGAACUAUAUAUUUGGCCAAUCAUUUCAAGUCACCUAAUCAUCAUUAAUUUUAUCUGAGGCUCAGUCACAUAUUUGAUAAUGCAAGAAAUAAUCUUAUAAAAUAGCAAAAUACAAGUAAUAUAGCUGGUAACAUUAAUAAGAUCAUAAGUAAGUAUUUAAGCUGAGAACUUCCAUUAGCUGUGGCCCAGUAUCUCCCCAGGUAGUCUAACCAGUCUGUUCUGCAUUAAGUGAUGAUAUAUUGACAUGGUACAUAAAGUUCACCAAAGAUGUCUGCACAUACAAGGUGAGUGGUGGGUCAUCGUGACCCCUUACAGGAUUGAGAAAGGAAUGUUAUCUUCUAAGGAGUUACAUAGCUGGCACCAGAAGGAGAAAAAUUGAUCUUUAUGGUUGAGCAGGUAUUUCUGCUGUUGGGGAAGUCUGGUUAACACAUAAUGUAGAUGCACAAUGCACACUACAGGGGAGAGAGGAAGCCAAAGGGCAGAGAAAAAGUUUUAUGUUUAAAUUUUUCUUGUCUUGCCUUAAAAUGUGAAUUUUAUUUCAACACUUUUCUAUAUGUUUUAAGACAUCCUUUUAAUGAUUUUAAGCGUAACUACAUAAGAGGAACUAUACCAGGGCUUCCCUGGUGGCGCAGUGGUUGAGAAUCCGCCUGCCGAUGCAGGGGACACGGGUUCGUGCCCCGGUCCGGGAGGAUCCCAC